UUGUCAGUUUAAAUCCGACUCUACGAAAACUUCGGAAUCGUGACGAAACAGAAAACCAUGUAUUGUGAAUUAACUAUUGCGAUUGGACCAAUGUAUUAUUUAUAAGAGACUCGAGACCAAGUAUCGGCAUUCAGGAUAUCUCCUGAAGUCACACGCAGAUUGUAAUGUCUUGGCGUGAUGCAACUUGUAAUGGUCAACUUCCUCAUCAUGUUUGACGUCGUAUUUGUAUUUUUCUUAUUCCUCAUCGCUGUUACGUGUAUCAUGAAUUAUAUGCCGGGGAGGAAGAGACAGGUAGUGACGCAAGAGGAAGUGGAAAGUGACGUCAUUCCUCCUCCGCCGUUGUUCGCUGGUGAUGAUUACCAAAAGGAGAGAGAUACGUAUGUUGUUAUAUCACCGCCGCUUGAAAAUGAUAGGAAGGAUGGGUGUCCGAUUCACGUUGUUUAAUAUAAGUGGAAAAUCAUCGUAGGAGUUUAAAAAAGCCUUAUGUAACUACAAAUAUUAGACGUUUUAGAUAUUAAGAUGGGUUUUAUUUUCACGCAUUUAUAGGUAGUUGUUUUAUAGAUCCGAUACAAUUGGUAAAACUUAUUGAAUUUAUAUAUUAGGUCCAAGACGAGACAAGAGGGAAUCAAGGCCUGUUGGGAAUAUAGGAGCUGAAAGAGAGCUGUAGAAAUUUCUAGGUAAUAUGCAUAUAAAAUUGUAACUGAUGUUUGUAUAUAGAAAAUAGUUAAGUAUUUUAUAACCAUUGGAAUCGUUUUAAUUUUAGCUUGUCUCUAUGCGCAUUACUCUUAAGCUAGAAGAUUCCGGUUUUAUUACUAUAGUUUUAUCUUGGUAGUAAAGACAUAAUUAUAUUUAUUAGACAUAAAAGCCUAUAAGCAUACUAUGUAAAACUAAUCUCAAUAAAUCGAUAGUGAUAUUGGCAUCUGAAGUGCUGUAGAAGUAACGGUCUAGUCCUGCUCCCAAAGAGAGUAAAAAUAAGAAGUAUAGAAAUUGUACCGUUUUCAUUAUAGGCACAGAUAAUAUUGUAAAUUGGAAAUAGGUUCAUGUACACUUUUAAGUUCAAAGUGUUUAUCGCUAAACUGUAGAUAAAGGACCAUUGGUUAACAACAACAACGUAAACAAGACCAUUGGUUACUUCUGUGUUACAACUAUAAUCAUAAAUGUGGCUGGAUUUUAAAUAGAGUGUGCCUAAAAUUUCGUGCCUAUGGCUUGCUUUAUUUGUAAGCUAUGAAGGCCUUCUUUAGCUUAAUAAAAUUGUAUGAAUUCGGCAAUUUAUGUUUAGCAAUUUGUUAUCUAUUUAUUUUUAUAUGGUAUGGUUUAUACUAUACCUGUAUGGUUCCAAAUUUAAAUUACGUCCCUAAUUGAAUGGCGAUCACAAACCGCUAUGUUGUGGUAUACACAGACUAGAUAUAUAGUAGAAUUAAUGAGAUUCGAACAGCUUCUGUCAAACUUUAAACCAAGUGUCGCGGCGAUGAAUACCGUUAUUUCUAUUUGUUAUCUAUACACAUUUUAUAAUUGUGGUGUUCUAAUUUUAUUAAUUCUGCUUUAUUGCUAGCCCAUGAAUAUUUUUUACAAACAAAUGAACAAUAAUUUAGUCACUUUAAACAAAUAGAUAGAAUUUAGACUAGCGAGUAAAAUAAUGAAAUGACAAUACAAUACAUAUUAUACGAAUAUUUAAAUAUCAUAUCCUUCAGCUUUAUAAGUAUGUAAUUAAGUUCGUUAACUUUUUUAUUGUAAUGUUUGUAAAGUAUUUAUUACAACUCUGUCGAUCUUAUCAUAUUAUUGUAUUCACGUCGGCGCGUACUUUGGCAAGAUUAUGGCUAUUAGUAAAAGCCUGAGACGAACUCUGUACUUUAAUACAAACAUUUGUUAAGCGAUCUUGGCAGCUCGAACGAAUUAUCCACGCAGUGUACGAAUACUAUUCAAAUGACAUACGUUACACUGAAACGGAGGAAAUUAUCAUUACGAUUCUAUGACUUAAACUAAUCGAUUGUGCGUGUAACCAUUUUACGUGCCGGAAACUACUCUAUUUUUUAAUACCAGACAUGAUUGACAACACACAAUUUAAUUUAAUUAUUUAUAUGUAUUUUGAGUUAAAAGUAUGAACUUAGGAAAAAGUAAUAAUAACUUCACAAUAAUAUUAGCUGUAUGUUGUAGAUAGAUUAGAAAGAAUUAAAAUCUUAAUCUAUGUGAUAUAUAUACACAAUUUUUAAUGCGUAGUAUAAUUAACGUUUUCAAUUGUUAUACAAGUGUAAAAUGGUGGUACGGAGGUAUGGUUAUUCUUAUUUUUAACUAAUAGAAGUUUUCAUAGGUGUUUGUAUAGAUGUAACUUCCGAGACACUGUACUCCGCACCAGACAUUUCUUAAUCCAUAAAAUAUGUAAUCUUAGAAGAGGACAUAUAUCACCUUUAUGUGUAACAUAUAAAACAUCGCCCAACAAAUGACAACACUACA